GAGUUCUCCCUCUCUCUUCUGGCUCUUCGUUAUCUCGGUCUCUUACCUCGCCGCCUCAGCAUCCCCUGCCUUGUUAUUUCAGGUGAGAUAGAGAAAUCAACGUCUUGUUCUUCAUUACGAUACAAACUGACAGAAAGCAAUAGAGAUUCCAUUUAUAUGCUUUACUUGUUGAGUUAUAUGUCUGACUGUUCAAGAAUUUGGGCGUUAUCUGAACAAAGGGGUUCAACUGGGAAUCUUGGAAGAAGGAAGGGGGAUGGUACAAUUCGCUCAAGAACUUGGUACCGGAUUUGGCCAAUGCUGGAAUUACUCAUGUGUGGCUUCCUCCACCGUCUCAAUCCGCCGCUCAACAAGGUAUAUCGCCGUGCCCUAACUCCUAAUAAUAAAAAAUCACUCAGUUUCCUUCUAUGGUUGCGCUUGCCUGUAGUGUAGUGAUGAUUGAUGAAUAUGAUAGUGAUUACGGGCUAAAUCAUCAGAAUUAAUAGUUCUGGACUGCUAGUCCAGGAUGAAUUGAUGUUUGAUGCAUUCGACAAUCUUGGAUCAAAUUCAACCGUGUGGUUUCUGAGAAGAAAUAGACCUUCAAAAGAAAUCCUCUAUAUGAAUAUCUGUUCCAAGGUUAGAAUUUAGUAGGACUCAUAUUUUGAUGAAUGCCAUUCCCCUUUUUCUCUAGGGUACCUGCCUGGGCGGCUCUAUGAUCUCAAUGCUUCGAGUUACGGGAAUCAGGUCGAGUUGAAGCAUCUUAUUGAUGCUUUCCAUCAAAAGGGAAUCAAAUGCCUGGCCGACAUAGUGAUUAACCACAGGACUGCGGAAAAACAAGAUAGCCGGGGAAUAUGGUGCAUCUUCGAAGGCGGAACACCCGACGAUCGUCUUGACUGGGGGCCAUCCCUUAUUUGUCGCGAUGAUACUGAGUACUCUGAUGGCAGAGGGAAUCUUGAUUCAGGAGAGGACUUCAAGCCUGCACCCGACAUAGACCACCUCAAUCCGAGGGUGCAAAAGGAACUGUCUGACUGGAUGAAUUGGUUGAAGAGCGAUAUAGGAUUUGAUGGGUGGCGAUUCGAUUUCGUAAAGGGUUACGCCCCGAGCAUCACCAAAAUCUAUAUGGAUCGGACUCUGCCAAAUUUUGCGGUGGGAGAGAAGUGGGACUCGCUCUCUUAUGGACAGGAUGGGAAGCUCAACCCAAACCAGGAUGCACACCGCCAUGCGCUGGCGGAUUGGGUCAAUGCUGCAGGCGGGGCCGUCACGGCGUUUGAUUUCACCACGAAGGGGAUCCUCCAGGCGGCCAUUGAAGGGGAGCUUUGGCGGUUGAGGGAUUCAAACGGGAUGCCACCGGGACUGAUUGGCCUGCAGCCAAGAAGCGCCGUGACUUUCAUCGACAAUCACGACACUGGUUCCACGCAGAAAGUCUGGCCGUUUCCGUCCGAUAAGGUCAUGCAGGGAUAUGCCUACAUCCUCACCCAUCCCGGAGUCCCAUCCAUUGUAAUGUCCUCUUGCUCUCGUUUAAUCGACUCAUCUCACUGUUGUCUCGUAUCUGUAAUAACUAAUGUACUAUGUUGAUGUCUGAAAGUUGCCAGUUACAUUGCGUUUUGCUCUUUUAUAAACCUCAAAGAAGUUCAUCUAACUCAUCCCAUUCAUUAACAAGACGCAUGCUUCUUGUAAUUUAGCACCAUAUGAAUUUGCUGAUCUUUCCUUUUCGAUUUGACCUAAGGAAAUGAUAUUUCUACUUGCGCAGUUCUACGAUCACUUCUUUGACUGGGGCCUGAAGGAGGAGAUCGGCAAGUUGACAGCGAUAAGGGCACGGAACCGGAUUAACGAGAAGAGCAGCGUGAAGAUCUUGGCUUCUGAUUCUGAUUUAUACGUGGCCAAGAUCGACGAUGGAGUGAUUAUGAAGAUUGGGCCUAGGUUUGAAGUAGGAAACCUUGUUCCUCCCAAUUAUCAGAUUGCUACAUCCGGCCAAGAUUAUUGUGUGUGGGAGAAGAAGUGAUGUUCAGGCAAACUUAAGAAUAAGCAGCAACUGAAAGAGCAAUUAUAGGUUGCAUUGUUUGAAAUAAAAAUUUACAAGCGGUCUUAUGCACCGUAUGGAAGUAAGUUAAAAUUUUUCGUUCAACCUCUGUUAUUUAUAUAAGGUUGUCAAUUAUCGACACCAUAUGCAAUUAAACAUGUUUAAAUUUGGCAUAAAUGGGUUUGUGUAUUCCCAUUUACGACACAUUCAAAAUUAUAUCUUAGGCCGGAGGUAAUUUGUUUCAACAGGACAUAAUUAGACAUGUUUAACACUCACAUUUAAUGACUUUUUUAUUAUUAAAAGUUUAUAACAAUAACACCCAUUUCAAAAAGAAAAAAAUAAAAUAAAAGCAUAUGAAAGGAUAAAAAAGUCCGUAAACAAAAUGAAAUUCAAUGGUGCACUGUACAUUAGUGAUAAGUAGAUUUGGAGUAAAGUAAAACAACAUAUCUAGUCGCUAAUUAAGCCGAUCUAACCACCUAACAUACAAUAACGAAUAAUUAAAUCGCUAUUUCAUUCUAAAUAAAAAUAUAAACCAUACUUAACCUAAACUAAUCAACCAUUAAGCAUAAUUAACUCUUUAAGCAGAGUUUAGUGAGUGAACUCACUAGUUUUGAAAUCCGAUGAGUUCGCGGUGAUGGCAACGCGGAAAUGGGCGACAAACUCCGAAGCGAUGACACCCUACAAGGCCUGAAAGCGUUCCGAAACGAGCCUAGAAGGCCCACAGCUAGUUGAGGGCUUCAGUUCUGCUUGAUGGGCCGAGAGAGAUCUAGGCGACGGGCUGAGCUGGAAACGGCCAAGGUGGCUAGUGUAGACUGCUGCGAGACUAGGUGGCGGCGGACAGUGGCUCGAGUGACCACGACGGCAACCACGACGGCUGGACGACAUUGGACGAUGGCAAGUAGGGUGCGAACGUGAGUAGGGGACCCACGGACUUAGGCGCGUAAAUGAGCAGAACCAGAGGGCGAGCGGCGACCUGGCAACGAUUAGAUGGGUGUGUGACGGGCAAGGGCAGGAGGCUACUCGGUCUCUUGCAAUUUUUGGGAGCUUCCAAGGUUGAAAAUGGAGAAAGCAAGUCUUGUUGAAGAAGAAAGGCCAGCUGCAAGAGUGGAGGGACCCCUUGGCCCCAAAGUCUCCAUUCCUAUGUCCUUUGUCCCCUUGGCAAGGCCCCACCUGUUUUAGCUAAUCCUCAGCCAAUUUUGUGCACACAAAACCCCCUAAAACAAGUUCCAAAUGGUCCAAAAGUUGAGGGGGACCAUGACAUAAGAAUUUGACACCAAAUUCCCCAAAUUGAGUUCAAUUCUCCUCCGAUUGGGUUCAAUUCAGUCUCCAUAAAUUCCACCAAGGUGUCCUCAACCAAAUUGACAUUUUUCCUCCCCAAUAAAAUCAACUUGCAUCCCAAAAACACGAUAAAAAUGUCCCUGAAUUUUCUGGACAAGAACAACCAAAUUUUGAAUUUUCGCCAAAAAUCUCGGUUUGCAGAAAAGUCUUUGGAGGAUGUUCCUAAAAUGAAUCGUGACAUGACAAAAUUUUCAAUUUCUAAAAUCAGAUUCAAAUUCGCGGUUAAUUUUAAUUUAGCGCGAUUUUAGAGUGACCUAGCCUACCAGGUAGCUUUUAGAAAUUUCUAGUACAAUUGACCCGUUGUCGAUUUAUUUCGAGUCACAAUGUACAUCUUCGACACAUUAGCGACUCUCGACUAUUAGAAAAUCUCAAGGUUUCAAAUACGGGCACAAGGUACCCAAAACGACAAAAAAAUGGGUUAGUACCGAUCGACGAAAAUUUUGUAAUCGGGUGGAAUCACUCAUAUUUUGAUCACAUAUCUUUGUCGAAUCGACCUAUCUAUGAUCUAUGUUCGAUUUUGACAAUGUCGUAAUGAUUCUUGCAGACUAGCACGGUCAAGCAAUCGAUUCUUAAUCGAAUUCUCAAGUCUAUUAUGUUAAAAUCCCUUAACGGUUUCGCUUGAUAGACUAGUUAUCUCGUGAGUGGCCAACUCAGAGAAAAGAAUUAUAGGCGUGUCGAUGAAAUGCCCAACUUAUUCAAUAAAGAAACAUAGCUUGAAAUUUAGGAUGUCACACGUCGUCUGUGAUUGGGUUCAACAGGGGCGAAUGCCGAAGCUGCUUGGCUCAUCAAGAACCGGAAAUGUUCGUGGGGAGUGCAGGUUGGCGAAAUUUCAAUCAGCGUUGGGAAGAACAAUGAAGUCAGUCUUUGAAAUAUGAUAUCACUUUCUUUAAUAAAUUAUUUUCCUCACAACUUGGCUAAUAGUCACCUGCAAAUUUCGUCCAAUAUACAACAAAAUCUCGUUUGAGAAUACUAGAUAGAAGUAUUUCUCUAAGGUCUUUCAAGGAAAACAAUUGGAAACAAUGGCUAUAUAUUUUUUGAAAGAAAAUGAAAUUAGAAGCUGAAGAUCAUUAUUGAACAAACAUGUUCAGUAAUUAAUAUAAAAAAACAAGAAGGUAUAUCGGAAUAGACACAACCUUUCAAAGAUUAAAAAAGUUAUGCCUGAACAUAUAUGAACUUUGAAAUAACCAUUGGAAGAAGUAAUAAAAUUGGGAAUUAAAUACAUAAAAAAUAAAAAUUAUCAUAAUUUUUUCAUAAAUAGUCACACUGUUCUAAUAGGAUAUUACAUUUAAUUUUUAUAAUUAUAAAUCCGAUUUUUAAUAAAUAAAAAAUAAUGAUCAUUGAUUAGUGUCAAAUUUUGUCUAUGUGCGCACUCACAUAUUUUUGAUGUGGGAUAAGGCAUCUCUUGAUUUGUUUUAUAAAUAAAAUACCAAGGAUGCUUAAUUGCUUAUAACAUUGUUGCUUGGUAGUAGUUUUCCUUUCGGCAAGUGACUCCUUUUACUGUUCGUCCCGUAUAGACCGAUGAAAUCAAAUUUUUAGUACAUGUUGUUUAUGUUCUGUUUCCCCCAGUUCCUAGAUGGGUUGCGAUAGCGUAAUAUGGUUGAGUAUGAAAGCUUAGAUCUUGCCAGUUGGGAGAAUAUUGGUCAUUCAAGAGUAUCGCAUUAUCUAUGCCUGGAACAUGGACACGCCACGCAACGAUAUGCUCUUUGUGGCCAGUCGGGGUUCUAUACUGAAACGGUAUUAGUUAGGAAAUCUGCUGCUUAGAACUCUACGUUAGGACCACUGAACCCAUGGUUCCCUAUAAUUUUCUCUCUCUAUUUGGGGUUGCAAUUACCAUGUGAUUUCUGGCUAACCCUGUUGCCUAAUCCACUUCUCUAAUCAUCACAGGAUCUUGCUUGAAAGCGAAGUAUUGAGGAGUAAUGUGAAGUAUUGACCUUUGAGGAAGACAGGCCAAAAACGAAAGAAACAGAAGGAAUCUUGACUCAGCGAAGACUUUGCUCUCUGUUGUUUUUUUCUUGGCACGACUCUCAGUCGAUUCAGACUUCUGAAGCGUCACGUGGGUUACGCGGCGUGCCAUUUACGUUGCAUUCACUUCCUGUUUUCUUGGCCACCCAACGUCCUUAGCCUACCCCUCUCGGUUGCCAUUGGCCAACAAUCUAAUACGCGUUUGUGGAAUACAAAGUCGGACUUUUAAUCCGAGUGGCAGUCCCCUCCUGCGCCCUUUCCACGUCCAUUCCUCUAAAUUGUCCUGUUUCCUUUGAUUUGUCAGUAGUCAUCCUCUUCAUGCGCCUUUGACAUGUCCAAUCUAAAAUUAUCCAUGGCAUAGCUGACUGGUUCCCCCUAAAAGAUCAGAGAAAGAAAAAGGAAGGAGCAUGUGAUGAUGAGUUCUCCCUCUCUCUUCUGGCUCUUCGUUCUCUCGGUCUCUUACCUCGCCGCCUCAGCAUCCCCUGCCUUGUUAUUUCAGGUGAGAUAGAGAAAUCAACGUCUUGUUCUUCAUUACGAUACAAAGUGACAGAAAGCAAUAGAGAUUCCAUUUAUAUGCUUUACUUGUUGAGUUAUAUGUCUGACUGUUCAAGAAUUUGGGCGUUAUCUGAACAAAGGGG
rnacentral:lncRNA from 1 species